AAGUCCGAAGGCGGUGGAGUCCGCCACAACCGUCAUGCGCCUGCCGUGGCCAAUGACUCCUGCGGGGUU
rnacentral:ncRNA from 12 species